AGAUUGCAGCAAUUAUUUUGGCAAGGGGCCAAGGGCUAACUUUCACUUCUCUUAGGUUUAUCAGAAGACUGUCCAGUCGCCAUGUCUCGUAAGAUAAUUGGGAUCCUUCCUAACUAUUACGUGCACGUACUAGACCUGAAUACUAAUAUAACUACUGUGGAGAUUGGACCGCAGAAUCUUGUCCUACAGGACAAUCAUUCUCUUGAAGCCGGUGCUCUUCCCUUCGUUACUAUACCCCCUGGUCACUACUGCCGAGUGGAACAUCCCAUCGAUAUCAAUAAACCAAUAGUUGAUGGGAAGUUAUACGAACUGAGAUUUGGACACAGAGAAAUAAGACUCCAUGGGGAUCCUUUCCCAUUGUUUCCUGGAGAGAGAUUACCUGAGAGUGGCAGUGCAACUGAUUAUUCUCGUGCUAUUAAGCAUCUUCCAACCAUAAAAGCAGAUCAUGGGAUUCACUUGAGUGCUCUGGUUGAUAUGGAGGAGACUGAUACUGCCCCAGCUCGUAAGGCAGGGGAUGAGUGGCAGCUGAGAGGACCAUUGACCUACUUACCCAAACCAGAAGAGCAAGUAGUAAAGAUGGUGUCUCCUAUUAUAAUAACUCCGGGUCAUGCUGUUCGUCUCAGAGCUCGUCAAGCGUUCACUGACGCUAAGGGAAUUUAUCGUUGCACUGGUGAGGAGUGGCUGGUGAGGGAUAUUGGAGCUUAUCUACCUGAUGUAUAUGAGGAGGUAGUAGAGGAGGUUGAUGCUUACACCCUAACACCAAACAAUGCGUUACACAUUAGAGCCAACUGUAACUUCACUGAUCAGUUUGGUAGGGGGAGAAGGAUUGGAGAGGAGUGGCUGGUUAAAUAUGAUGACACUGAAUCAUAUAUACCUGAUGUCACUGAGGAGGUAGUGAAUGAGGUCCAGUUGACUGUUUUAUCCCACCAUCAGUAUUGUGUGGUUGUUAACCCUCUUGGUGAUGAUGGUAGACCACGUCUUGGCUGUAGGGAACUGAGGAAAGGACCCAAGACAUUCUUCCUUCAUCCUGGUGAGAAGUUUGAGAGAGGGAUACAAGAUGCUAUUAUAUUAGAAUCUGAUGAGGCUCUUCUUGUCACUGCUCAAGAGGAGUUUGAUGAUGUUACUGAAGAUGGUAGUAAGGUACACCGGACCCCUGGUGACAGGUGGAUGAUUCAUGGACCAACUGACUAUAUACCUAGAACUGAGAUUGGAAACAUACAGAGGAGGAAAGCUACUCCAUUGAAUGAGAAUGAAGGGAUUUAUGUUAGAAAUGUUCAAUCAGGACAGGUUCGUGCUAUAUUGGGUCCUCAGUCUUAUUUACUGCAAGCUGCUGAGGAACUGUAUGAGAAAGAACUGACUCCACUAGCAGAAGAAAUAUUAAAUCUGCUGUUUGUUGCUUUGAAGGGUACAUGUAUAUUUAUGCUAAAUUUGACGUCUAACAUUAUGGGAAUGUACAGAGCCUGUAGUAGUAUAGUAACUUGGCAGUUGGGACACUUAAUCAGUCUAGUAAAGGAAAAAAGCGUGACAAGACUCGUGUAGUUACUUACAGGUGCCCCAGUAACUGUGCAGUUCAAAGAAGACAGCUCGUGUUGUAUUUGGUCCUGAUCUUGUAGUGCUGGAUCCUCAUGAGAACUUUAAUGUCCUCAGUUUGAGUGCUGGUAAACCAAAGAAGGAGAAUGCCCUGAAGACUAUUUGCCUCAUGCUUGGUCCUGACUUUAUAUCUGAUCAUAUUACAGUA
rnacentral:misc_RNA from 1 species